rnacentral:tRNA from 1 species
UAUCUUUAAGUGUUUGGCACGUAAACUUUUGAUGUUUGAAGAAGAUUAGUCUAAAGAUAA